rnacentral:rRNA from 1 species
AUUGAACGCUGGCGGCAUGCCUUACACAUGCAAGUCGAACGGUAACGGGCCUUCGGGUGCCGACGAGUGGCGAACGGGUGAGUAAUACAUCGGAACGUGCCCGAUCGUGGGGGAUAACGAGGCGAAAGCUUUGCUAAUACCGCAUACGAUCUACGGAUGAAAGCAGGGGACCGCAAGGCCUUGCGCGGACGGAGCGGCCGAUGGCAGAUUAGGUAGUUGGUGGGAUAAGAGCUUACCAAGCCGACGAUCUGUAGCUGGUCUGAGAGGAUGAUCAGCCACACUGGGACUGAGACACGGCCCAGACUCCUACGGGAGGCAGCAGUGGGGAAUUUUGGACAAUGGGCGCAAGCCUGAUCCAGCCAUGCCGCGUGCAGGAUGAAGGCCUUCGGGUUGUAAACUGCUUUUGUACGGAACGAAAAGCCUUCUUUUAAUACAGGAGGGUCAUGACGGUACCGUAAGAAUAAGCACCGGCUAACUACGUG